UUUUGAUGUACAAAGGUAGGAACUUUGAUGUUAUUUAUUGUUGAUGGAACAACAUGAACUUUGAGGUUGUUUGUAUGUUGAUGAAGUUUUUGAUGCUUAGCUCUGAAAUGCUGUACUCACUAAACUGACACAUUGCUGCUUUGGCUACUAUGUUUUUAAACCAUUUCUCAAUUAUAUGAAUUACAAGCAAUGUCUUCAAAUUCUAUUAUGAAGAUGAAAUAUUUUGCAAUUAUUGUUGUUGCAAUUGAUGAAUAAAUUAUCCAUAUCAAUGAUGUUGAAGAAUGCAUCUCUAUCUAAACAACUAUAUCUUGUAUUUGAGUAGGUUGGUCAUUCAUUCAAAUGGUGUUUUUUUCACAUUUGAUAUGUAUAUUUGAGUUUUUUUGCCUAGAUGUUCUGCAUGUAAUUGAUUUGAAUUUUGUGAUUGUAGGAUACAAGUUUGCCUCUUUAGGACAAGCAAUAUGCAUUCUUAGGGAGUUAAGCUAUGAUAUUUUCAAUAGUCUUUUAGCUUACAACAUAUCUAAGAUUUAUAUAAUUUUUUUGACAAUAAUAUCACCAAAUCUUUGAGAUUGGUGCACAAGUUUUUCAUAUUUGAUCAUAGUUAGAAGUAUUUUUUUUUUUUUUUUUUUUUUUUUUUUCUUGAAUGGUUCCAUAAAUAAUUUAGUGUGAAGUGAUGUAUAUUGGCAUGCAGCUUUGGAUAUACCAGAGCAAACAUUGCACAUGUCAAGCUUCUUUCACAACAUGUUGAGUCUUUUAUGCUCACUCUUUAUAAUGAACUACUGAUUCAUUUCUAUCAAUCUGAUCAAUUAGGUGCAAAGUUUGAAGUUUGACGAAGUCAAGAAAAGCUGUACUGUGAAAGGAGUGGAGACCUUCAAUUCCACUAAGAAGAAAAUAGAAGUUUGCCUCAGUGUGAAUUGGAAUUAUAAUUUAGUUCCAAUUUCUUUUAAUCGCAACAAAAUACAAAGCCAUUUAUAAAAAAUAAGUUUGUGUAGAUUAUGAUCAUCUUGGAUGUUGCAUCAUCCAUGUUGAUCUAUCUGCAAGGAAGAUCAUCCUUUCAAUUAGGAAUUGCUUCAAUAGUGUCUUCUUGGGUGAGACACAAGAGAGGAAAACAUACAUGCAUUAAAAAGGCACAUCUGAAAUUGGAUUGCUACUUCUUAAUAAAAAGAAGCAGAAGCUUGACUGAGAGGAAUUUUUCAUGCUAAUAUCUUAAACCCAUGCUACUGUAACACUUAGUAAGUUUUUCAGCUUAACAAAGCAACAUAAUUUGGCCUAGCAAUGGCAUGUAAAGCUCACUAUUUUAGGACCAUAUUGAAAGGAUUAAGUUUUGGUAGUACCUAGGAAUUCCAAAAGCAAAAUUUGAUUAACUGUGUAUGGAACCAUGUCCUGGAUAUUUUUUAAAUCAGUGCAUACUUUGAAAAGGUAUUAUUCAUUCACAAAUUUUCAUUUUGUUCAAUGGGCAAGGCUUCUCAAGAAUGAAUUUGGCACCAUGACCAUGUCUAUAGUAAAUUGUUGUAAUGUGAUAACACAGCCAUUAGGUGAAAGAAUAUAUAUAUAUAUAUAUAUAUAUACAUGUGUGUGUGUGUGUGUGUGUGUGAGUGUGUGUAUUAUAGAAGAGCUUAAAUGAAAUUAUUUUAGCAAAUUUUCUUUAAAAUAUAGAUAAUAGACAAAUAGGUAGUAAAAAUUAAUAAGUGUUAAUGUUGCCUUCUUUUUGAAGAGACUUCUACUUACUUUAUAGGAGCAUAAAUGAGCCAAAUCAAAAUAAAUAAGAUAAAUAGUUAAUAUGGGCAUCUUUAGGAAGAAACUAAGAAUAGAUUCUAAUAAAAAUUACCUCAAAUACUACGAAUUGAUAUUUGAAGAGGGUUGGUUGUGAACCAAUGUCAAAAUCAGAUCCCAAGGCACAAAAAUAUGCACCUAUGAUAAUUCUAGGGUUCUUUGGUUGAUUAAAGAAUGUAAUUUGAGAGCAAACUUAUGAGAGAAUUUUUGAAAGUUGAUUUCAUAUAAUUUGAAGAUAUAUUGAGGAUUUGAGAGAUUUUAAAAAAGAAAGAUUUAUUCAAAGAAUUUGGAUUUUUAGAAAUAAAAAGAAGUUUAUAAAUUUGAUGAUUUUGUAAAUAAUUUAGCAUAUUUAUGAGUAAAAAUUUGUUAGUUUUUCACUUUGUUUUUUUAAAUGUGUAAAAAAUUUGAUGUUAGUUGAAGAGUUAGAUUAAAGAUUGUGAGAGUUUUUGUGGAUUAUGAACUUAGAUAAUUGAAAUUUAGGGUCUGUAAGGAUUUUUGUAAUCUUAUAGCAUGUGCUAAUUUGAUUGAAGUGAAAAUUCGUGAGAGGAGUCAAGGCUUAAAUAGGCUAGUGCAUAGGUAUUCAAGUCUUGACUCCUCUCAUCUUCUUAUCAUUGUUUAAACGAUUUAGCAAUAAGAAAUCUUUACUGGAAGUUCAACAUUUAAGUUGGAGAAGGAAGAUGGCCAAUAUCCAAGAGAUUUUGAGAGCUUUUCUUUCAAUUGGUGAAUUCAAUUCUUUUCAAAUUUUAUAUAACUGUUAAUUGCUUGUAGAUUAAGGUCUAGAUGAAAUUUUAAUCAAAAUAAAUAAUUCAAUUAAUAUUUAUCAAGGUUUCAAAACAACUAUAAUAAUUGAUUAAGAUUUAUUUUAGAUUUUUUAGAUUUUUUUAGAAUUUAUUUAGGAUUUGAUUAGAAUCUAAAAUUUGAUUAGAAUUUGAUUAAGAUUUAAUUAAUAUUUAAGAUUUGAUAAAGAUUUUAUUAGGAUUUGACUAGGAUUUA
rnacentral:lncRNA from 1 species